UACGGGGGUGGCAAGCGUUGUCCGGAAUUACUAGGCGUAAAGGGCAGGUAGGCGGAUUGGUAAGUUAAUUGUUAAAGGCCCAUGCUCACCAUGGGUAAGGCAGUUGAUACUGUCAGUCUGGAAGCGAGUGGGGGAAGACGGAAUUCCUGGUGUAGCGGUGGAAUGCGCAGAUAUCAGGAGGAACACCGAAGGCGAAGGCAGUCUUCUACGCUUGUCUUGACGCUAAACUGCGAAGGUGCGGGUAUCAAACAGGAUUAGAUACCCUGGUAGUCCGCACAGUAAACGAUAAUCACUAGGUGUCGGUGGGAUAGACCUGUCGGUGCCGUAGCUAACGCGAUAAGUGAUUCGCCUGGGGAGUACGAUCGCAAGGUUGAA
rnacentral:rRNA from 1 species